rnacentral:rRNA from 1 species
GAUGAACGCUGGCGGCGUGCUUAACACAUGCAAGUCGAACGGAAAGGUCCUGCUCUUGUGCGGUGCUCGUGUGGCGAACGGGUGUGUAACACGCGUGUAUCCCGCCCUUGUCUUUGGGAUAACUUUAGGAAACUGCGGCUAAUAUCGGAUAUGAGCUCCUGCUGCAUGGUGGGGGUUGGAAAGUUUCGGCGGUUGGGGCUGGUCUGGCGGCUUAUGAGCUUGUUGGUGGGGUAGUGGCUUACGAAGGCUUUGACGGGUAGCCGACGUGGGAGGGUGACCGGCGACAUUAGGACUGAGGUACGGACCAGACGCGUACGUGAGGCAGCAGUGGAGAACAUUACACAAUGGGCGGAAGCCUGAUGCGGCGACGCUGGGUGCGGGAUGACCGCCUUCGGGUUAUAAACCGCUUUCGCCUGUGACGAAGCGUGAGUGACGGUAAUGGGUAAAGAAGCACCGGCUAACUACGUG